rnacentral:rRNA from 1 species
UACGGAGGGAGCUAGCGUUGUUCGGAAUUACUGGGCGUAAAGCGUACGUAGGCGGUUAUUCAAGUCAGAGGUGAAAGCCCGGGGCUCAACCCCGGAACUGCCUUUGAAACUAGAUAGCUAGAAUCUUGGAGAGGUCAGUGGAAUUCCGAGUGUAGAGGUGAAAUUCGUAGAUAUUCGGAAGAACACCAGUGGCGAAGGCGGCUGACUGGUCCGGUUCUGACGCUGAGGCGCGAAAGCGUGGGGAGCAAACAGG